AGCAGUAGCCACGGGAACACGUAGGGUGCAAGCGUUAAUCGGAAUUACUGGGCGUAAAGCGUGCGCAGGCGGAUAUAUGAGUCAGAUGUGAAAUCCCAGAGCUCAACUCUGGAACUGCCUUUGAUACUGGGUAUCUUGAGUAUGGAAGAGGUGAGUGGAAUUCCGAGUGUAGAGGUGAAAUUCGUAGAUAUUCGGAGGAACACCAGUGGCGAAGGCGGCUCACUAGUCCAUUACUGACGCUGAGGUGCGAAAGCGUGGGGAGCAAACAGGAUUAGAUACCCCCGUAGUCCCUGUCUCUUAUAC
rnacentral:rRNA from 1 species